AUUGAACGCUGGCGGCAGGCCUAACACAUGCAAGUCGAACGGUAGCACAGAGGAGCUUGCUCCUUGGGUGACGAGUGGCGGACGGGUGAGUAAUGUCUGGGAAACUGCCCGAUGGAGGGGGAUAACUACUGGAAACGGUAGCUAAUACCGCAUAACGUCGCAAGACCAAAGAGGGGGACCUUCGGGCCUCUUGCCAUCGGAUGUGCCCAGAUGGGAUUAGCUAGUAGGUGGGGUAACGGCUCACCUAGGCGACGAUCCCUAGCUGGUCUGAGAGGAUGACCAGCCACACUGGAACUGAGACACGGUCCAGACUCCUACGGGAGGCAGCAGUGGGGAAUAUUGCGCAAUGGGCGAAAGCCUGACGCAGCCAUGCCGCGUGUGUGAAGAAGGCCUUAGGGGUUGUAAAGCACUUUCAAUUGGGAAGAAAGUUGGUCGUUAAUAGCGGCCAGCCCUGACAUUACCUUUAGAAGAAGGACCGGCUAACUCCGUGCCAGCA
rnacentral:rRNA from 1 species